AUUUGACCUCAAAUCGGGUGGGACUACCCGCUGAACUUAA
rnacentral:rRNA from 1 species